rnacentral:rRNA from 1 species
AACCGUUAUAACCGGCGAUUUCCGAAUGGGGAAACCCAGUGUGAUUCGUCACACUAUCAUUAACUGAAUCCAUAGGUUAAUGAGGCGAACCGGGGGAACUGAAACAUCUAAGUACCCCGAGGAAAAGAAAUCAACCGAGAUUCCCCCAGUAGCGGCGAGCGAACGGGGAGGAGCCCAGAGCCUGAAUCAGCAUGUGUGUUAGUGGAAGCGUCUGGAAAGGCGCGCGAUACAGGGUGACAGCCCCGUACACAAAAGCGCAUGUGCUGUGAGCUCGAUGAGUAGGGCGGGACACGUGGUAUCCUGUCUGAAUAUGGGGGGACCAUCCUCCAAGGCUAAAUACUCCUGACUGACCGAUAGUGAACCAGUACCGUGAGGGAAAGGCGAAAAGAACCCCGGCGAGGGGAGUGAAAAAGAACCUGAAACCGU